GCCUACUUAGCUCAGUUGGCAGAGCGUCUGCCUCGUAAGCAGAAGGUCUUCAGUUCGAUUCUGGAAGUGGGCA
rfam:Zancudomyces culisetae strain COL-18-3 scaffold-1363, whole genome shotgun sequence.